rnacentral:lncRNA from 1 species
AAGGAGGUUCUCCAGUUUGAUUCGCUGUUCCACAUGCCAAUCAUUUGUAAACACACUGUUCCACAUGCCAAUCAUUUAUAGAUUUAAUCAUUGGCAUCUUUUAAUCCAAUCAAGGUGACAAUUAAAUGUGCCAUUACUCAUAGUAUCGAAUACCCCUUCUCUCCAGCCAUAAGUCUCCACUCUUUUCAACAUAUUGCAUUGGUGUAGGGUGUUUGUUAGUUACUAAACCAGUGUUGAACAUUUGAUAAAGAGAAUGCAUGAAGCAACAUGUUAUGAUAAGCCAAAGUUCAUCCUUUACCUUAGGGUUCCUCCUCUGUGUGAUGUGAUUGUGUGUGUCACGUAGUUUACAAGAUAAUGUCAUACAGAAGAGUUUCACUGCUCUGGGAAUCCUGUGUUCCACCUGUUCAUCACUCCUCUCAUUCCUUCCUCCCUCUAUGCUCCCUGAGUCCCUGGUACCCAUCAGUUCUGCUAGUGCAUCUAUAAUGUUGUCUUUUCCAGAAUGUUCUUGACUUGGAAUCUUACUGCAGUUUGCCAUUUCAAACUGGCUUCUCUCUCUUACCUGUCUGCCUUUAAGGGUGCUGUAUCUUUCCAGGCUAAAGAGCUCAUUUUCUGGGUGAUGUUCUUUGGUGUGGGUAAACUGCAGCUUGUCUAUUCAGUAUUGCAAGGUGUAUCUUCCUUGCGUCUAGCUUUGGGCACUUCUGGAUAUGGCUGCUGUAGUCACUGUGGUGAGGAUUCCUGUGCCCAUAAUUGCC